CUAGGCCCUCUUGCCAGAAAAGUUCUUUCUCCACAGACCAACAGGAAGUUCCCUAAGUACUAUGAGACCUUGUCUUUGCCUAUAGCUGGCUGCAUUGGACAUGGAUUCCUGGCCCAAGUUCAUUAAAGAAGAUGAGGGAAAAUAAACACACAUGUACACGCACACCAGAUAAACUGAAUGCUUCCUUCUGCUGGGGACGCGCUAUAGGUGAGCAAGUGCACCAAGGACAAGGCGGCCACUGAUGAAAAGGAAGGGAAAAGAGACUUCAUUUCCAUACCCACUAACCACGCCAACAGAAGGCUUUGUGAAGAAGGAAGUAAAAGCUAUCGGUAGGAGUUAGAAAAAAACAUUUCUAGUUACAAGAACAGCAGGAAAGGACCUGAACUUCAGAGUGGACCACAAAUGAAUAUGAAUUAAUAACACAGAUCUCUUUUCAAAAGCCAGCACAAAAUGAGGAUGUGUUUUUUGCAAAAGCAGUUGUUCUUGCCACUGGGCUUAUGCUUGUCAUUCUUUCAUGUGUCACAGCCAGACAUAGGAAAUUCCCUGGAAAGUCCCCUCCAUCACACACCUGCAGUUUUUCCAUUUGAGUGUAAUUCUGUUGGACCUUGAAAGACUUUUUGAUCUUUGGGACGCUCUUAUCACCAAAUGUAUCUUUCUGCAGGAAGAAGACAGAAGAAAGGGGUGGACUGUGAGAUGGGAGCCUGGGUCCCAAUUUCAGUUCAACCAUUACCAACCAGGUGGCUUUAGGCAAGUCUGGUCAUUUCCUUUGCCUCAGUGGCUUUCUAUAAAAUUGAAUUCUAUGGGGAUGAUGAAAGCGAAAACAUUAGCCACUAUGCUUGCUAGUGCUCAAGAAAUGAUUCCUUCCUGCCUGCCUGCCUCAGUUUUCCAUCUGUAAACAAGGAUUCAACUAGAACAUCUUUGAGGUUCCUUGAGCUCUAACACUCUGUGAUUCUGUUGGCAGCACCUUAAGAAAUUUACAACAAACACUCCAGUGAGUCUUAAUCUAUUAGAUCCCAUUCAUUUCUAAUAGUGUUGUGAUUUUGACUUUGUAGCCUAAUGUUUAUUUUCUCUCUUCCUGAUUUUUUAUUUAUAUAUUCUAGUUAAUAGUUUUUGCUUUUUCAAGUUGCCACCAAUUCUUUGUAGAGUAAGAAAAAAGUAUAACUAACUGGAGGAAAGAAUGCAUUAGCGGAAAGCCAAGGAAUGAUAACACUAAUGCUAAUACAAUACUACUGCUAAUAAAAAUAACUGCCUUUAUUG